rnacentral:rRNA from 1 species
GUGGGGAAUAUUGGACAAUGGGCGAAAGCCUGAUCCAGCCAUGCCGCGUGUGUGAAGAAGGUCUUCGGAUUGUAAAGCACUUUAAGUUGGGAGGAAGGGCAUUAACCUAAUACGUUAGUGUUUUGACGUUACCGACAGAAUAAGCACCGGCUAACUCUGUGCCAGCAGCCGCGGUAAUACAGAGGGUGCAAGCGUUAAUCGGAAUUACUGGGCGUAAAGCGCGCGUAGGUGGUUCGUUAAGUUGGAUGUGAAAUCCCCGGGCUCAACCUGGGAACUGCAUCCAAAACUGGCGAGCUAGAGUAGGGCAGAGGGUGGUGGAAUUUCCUGUGUAGCGGUGAAAUGCGUAGAUAUAGGAAGGAACACCAGUGGCGAAGGCGACCACCUGGGCUCAUACUGACACUGAGGUGCGAAAGCGUGGGGAGCAAACAGGAUUAGAAACCCUUGUAGUCC